rnacentral:tRNA from 1 species
GGAUUCGUAGCUCAGUUGGUAGAGCAUCGGACUCUUAAUCCGCUGGUCGUGGGUUCAAACCCCACCGGAUCCACCA